rnacentral:lncRNA from 10 species
CCUGCUUGCCGGCCUGGCGGUCCUACUCAACACCGCAAGAUUUCAAAAGGGAAAUUCCUCCAGGGCUGAGUCACAGGGAAGAAAGCGAUUUCCUCCGCCUCUUCCAAAGCGGAUUUUAUAACCUGACAGCGUGCUGGAACUUCUCUGCUGGACUCCUGGACUCCCACAAUGGUUGUGGGGCUAGACAAGAAGGAAAAAAAUCACUGUCCUCAUGGAAGUUAAAUUGUACUGACAAAGGAGGAAAAUGUCAGGGAGUUAACAAUUCAGUCUCUGUGGCUUCCUCCUGUCCUCUCCCUGAAACUGAGAUCCAGCCAAUCUGCACAUUUAUUCUGAGAGUGGCCCCACUUUAAUGACUACACCCAGCUGUCUACACACCAGGAGGGGAGGGAACUGUAUCCUGAGGCACCAACCCGAUUACCCACCCAACAGCCACAGGGACUUCCAGUGACUGGGGCAUCAUCCUCAAUGCCACCAACCCCUCUCCUUCCUGUGGCUUUUCUAACUGGAACUGGAACUCAGAAAGUACAUUAAUCACCAAUUUGGGAAGCUAUAGGAAAGUAUGUUUUCUAAUAUACAGUGAGAGAAUGUGACUGAUAAAACCAAUUUUCUUGAGACUUUCUCCCUGGAAAGUGAAUAUAUGUAUUCAUAGGGCCUUCACAAGCACAGACUAACAAGCAAAGAGCUACAUUCACUGGGAAGGAAGACUCAAAAGUAAGUGAAAAAUAAUAGUUAACCUUUAGAUGUUGUGCAAUAAAUUAUUUUUAAUUACAUUAAAUCAAAAUAGUGUUAAAAUAUUUUCAGGUAAACCUAGUAUAUUUACUAAUAAAUUUAAGUCUUCAUAAAUAUAAAGAUAGAUCAAUGUAAAUGUAAAAAUCAUUUGUUAAACUCCAGAGAUUAUAUAAACAAAAGGUGAACCUAAUGUAAAACUGUGGACUUUAGUUGAAAAUAAUGUGUCACUAUUCUUUCAUGGGUUGUAACAAAUGUGCCACACUAAUGUAAGAUGUUAAUAAUAGCAGAAAUAGGGGGGAGAGAGGAGGGAUCUAGGAGCUCUCUGGAUUUUCCAUUUUAUUUUGUUAUAAAUCUAAAACUGUUCUUAAAAAUAAUGUCUGUUAAUUUUUUUUUUAAAAAGGAAAGAAGCACUGAU